UCCCUGGUAGCUCAGUGAUAAAGAAUCUGCCUACAGUGCAGAAGAUCCAGGUCCAAACCCUGGGUCGGGAG
rnacentral:tRNA from 1 species